rnacentral:lncRNA from 1 species
AAUCUAUUAAAAUGAUGUAGGAUGACUUUAAUAAAAGAGAAAAAAAAUUAGAAGGGUGUAGGUUGACUUUAAUAAGAAAGAGAAAAAGUUAGAGGGGUGCAGAAUCACUUUAUAAAGAAAGAGAAAAUAUUAAAAUAAUAUUAAUUAAGGUUAAAAUGGUAAUUUUUGGAGGUGCAGAAUGAAAGCUUGGAGGUGGAGGAUGAAACACCCUUGUUUUAUUUGCUAAACAGUAAAAAUCAUAAAAAAUAAAAGACAAAAAUAAAAAAGGUAUAAAAUAUAUAAAAAAUAAAUAAUAAAAUUACAAAAGUACAAAAAAAAAAUAG